GACGAACGCUGGCGGCGUGCCUAAUACAUGCAAGUUGAGCGCUGAAGGUUGGUACUUGUACCGACUGGAUGAGCAGCGCACGGGUGAAUCACGCGUGGGGAAUCUGCCUUUGAGCGGGGGACAACAUGGGAAAACGAAUUCUAAUCCCGCAUAAACUCUUGAAACACAAGGUUGAAGGGUGAAAGACGCAAUUGGAUCACUCAAAGAUGAUCCCUCGUCGUAUUAGCGAGUUGGUGGGGUAAAGAGUCAUCAAGGCGAUGUUACAUAGCCGACGUGAGAGGGUGAUCGGCCACAUUGAGACUGAGACACGGCACAAACGGCUACGGGGAGCAGCAGUAGGGAAUCGUGGGCAAGGGACGGGAGACAGACCGAGCAACGCCGCGGGAGGGAGCAAGGUUUUCGGAUCGGAAAUCUCGGUUGGUAGGGUAGAACGUUGGUGAGAGUGGAAAGCUGAUCAAGUGACGGUAACGAGCCAGAAAGGGACGGCUAACUACGUG
rnacentral:rRNA from 1 species